rnacentral:rRNA from 1 species
AUUGAACGCUGGCGGCAGGCCUAACACAUGCAAGUCGAGCGGAGCGGCGGACGGGUGAGUAAUGCCUAGGAAUCUGCCUGGUAGUGGGGGAUAACGUCCGGAAACGGGCGCUAAUACCGCAUACUAUCAGAUGAGCCUAGGUCGGAUUAGCUAGUUGGGGGGGUAAAGGCCUACCAAGGCGACGAUCCGUAACUGGUCUGAGAGGAUGAUCAGUCACACGUGAACGGAGACAUGGUCCAGAGUACUACGGGAGGCAGCAGUGGGGAAUAUGGGACAAUGGGCGGAAGCCUGAUCCAGCCGUGCCGCGUGUGUGAAGAAGGUCUGCGGAUUGUAAAGCACUUUAAGUUGGGAGGCGUUACUAACAGAAGAAGCACCGGCUAACUUCGUGCCAGCAGCCGCGGUAAUUC